rfam:Ferriphaselus amnicola DNA, contig: contig00005, strain: OYT1.
GCGAAAGUGGCGGAAUUGGUAGACGCACUGGAUUUAGGUUCCAGCGCCGCAAGGCGUGCAGGUUCGAUUCCUGUCUUUCGCA